rnacentral:rRNA from 1 species
UGGGGAAUAUUGCGCAAUGGGCGAAAGCCUGACGCAGCGACGCCGCGUGAGGGAUGAAGGUUUUCGGAUCGUAAACCUCUGUCAGAAGGGAAGAAACCGCACUGUGCUAAUCAGCAGUGCCUUGACGGUACCUUCAAAGGAAGCACCGGCUAACUCCGUGCCAGCAGCCGCGGUAAUACGGAGGGUGCAAGCGUUAAUCGGAAUUACUGGGCGUAAAGCGCACGUAGGCUGCUUUGUAAGUCAGGGGUGAAAUCCCACGGCUCAACCGUGGAACUGCCUUUGAUACUGCUUAGCUUGAAUCCGGGAGAGGGUGGCGGAAUUCCAGGUGUAGGAGUGAAAUGCGUAGAGAUCUGGAGGAACAUCAGUGGCGAAGGCGGCCACCUGGACCGGUAUUGACGCUGAGGUGCGAAAGCGUGGGGAGCAAACAGG